rnacentral:rRNA from 1 species
GACGAACGCUGGCGGCGUGCUUAACACAUGCAAGUCGAACGGACAUUACGGAGGAGUUUACUUUGAAGUAAUGUUAGUGGCGGACGGGUGAGUAACACGUGGAUAAUCUACCUGGCACACUGGGAUAACACUGUGAAAACGGUGCUAAUACCGGAUGACUUAAAAAGACCGCAUGGUCAAAAUAAGAAAGGAGCAAUCCGGUGCCGGAUGAGUCCGCGGCUGAUUAGCUAGUUGGUGGGGUAAAGGCCUACCAAGGCGACGAUCAGUAGCCGGCCUGAGAGGGUGAACGGCCACACUGGGACUGAGACACGGCCCAGACUCCUACGGGAGGCAGCAGUGGGGAAUCUUCCGCAAUGGGCGAAAGCCUGACGGAGCAACGCCGCGUGGGUGAAGAAGGCCUUCGGGUUGUAAAGCCCUGUCUUAUGGGAAGAAGAAAGUGACGGUACCAUAGGAGGAAGCCACGGCUAACUACGUG